rnacentral:tRNA from 1 species
GCUAAAAUAGCUCAACGGUAGAGUGACUGACUCGUAAUUAGUAGAUGCAAGUUCAAUUCUUGUUUUUAGCACCA